rnacentral:rRNA from 1 species
AGAGUUUGAUCCUGGCUCAGAACGAACGUGCCUGGCGGCGUGCUUAACACAUGCAAGUCGAACGGGGUUAUACGGAGAAAUUGGUUUCGGCUGGUGGAUUUGUAUAACUUAGUGGCGGACGGGUGAGGAACACGUAGGUAACCAAUCCUGAAGCGGGGGAUGUCAACUGCGGGAAACCGGAGCUAAUACCGCAUAAGACCACAGGCUGGAAGGCUGGUGGUAAAAGGAGCAAUUCACUUCAGGCUGGGCCUGCGGCCUAUCAGGUAGUUGGUGGGGUAAUGGCCUACCAAGGAUACGACGAUGGUUAGCGGGUCUGAGAGGAUGAUCCGCCACACUGGAACUGGAACACGGACCAGACUCCUACGGGAGGCAGCAGUGGGGAAUAUUGGACAAUGGGGGAAACCCUGAUCCAGCAAUGCCGCGUCCUGUGUGAAGAAGGCCUGCGGGUUGUAAAGCACUUUCAGCAGAGAAGAAAAGCCUGGGGCUAAUAUCCCCGGGUCUUGACGUAACCUGCAGAAGAAGCACCGGCUAACUCCGUGCCAGCAGCCGCGGUAAU